UGGGGAAGGAAAGGGCCUGGGGAAGAAAUUCAGUGGGAAAGAGGAUGUCAGAAGGUUUGUGGCAUCGGGAAAUGACAGGAAAGCCAGAGAGGAGUUGGCGCCAGGGGCUGGAGAAGUGACAGUUCUUGGGUGGAGCCUCUGGGAAGCAGGAGGCUUUGGGUCCAGGACCCCUUUCCUUCAGGGCCUGGCCCGGAAAUUUCGUGAUGGGAUCAUGCCUUAGGGAGCCCAGGAGCCCCGGCCCAGACUGCCCUUCUUGGGGUUUGGAGCCCUUGGAAGGGCUGAGUGGCAGAAAGCAAGGGUGGCCGCAGCCACUGAGCAUCCCUGGGAAGGGACGGGGCUGUGUAGAAGGAUUACCCGGGGACAGGUGGGCAGUCACAGUGUCUCAGCCCGCUGGGAUUGGCAGCAGAACUCAUCUGUUGAAGAGAAGGUAGAGGUCAGGUGUCACAUGGCAGGAAAUUUCCAAUAAAGACAAAAAUGCUUCCCCGGAGAAGAGACCUGGAGACUGGGGCUCUGCUCACACUUGCUUCACUGCACACAGUCACUCUGGUGUCCUUUGGUCUCUCUUCCCCCUCCGUCAGCGCUCGGCCCUUCCCCCUCGGCUGCUGCUUCCUCUGCAGGAACAGCUGCGUGUCUGGGCUUGUCAGGAGUCAGCUGCGUCUCCAGACACAGACAUAGGAGCCCCAGCACCAGCCCUGGCCCGACGCUCGGCACUGAGGUUUGGGAGGUAGUGAUCUCCCUGUUAAACUGAGACCCAGAGACAGGGAGUGUGUUUGAAUCCCGCAGACCCAACAAGUAUCCAUGGAGCACCCACCUGCUGGGGCUUGUUCCAGGUGCUGGGAUGUGCUGGUGGACAGAACAAAAGCCUGGUUCUCAGGGAGCUUCUACUCCAGUGGGGAGGCGUUAACACAUAUAUAAGCCUGGCCAACAUGGUGAAACCCCAUCUCUACUGAAGACACAAAAAUCAGCUGGGCAUGAUCUUGCACACCUGUAAUCCCAGUACUCAGGAAGCUGAGGCACGAGAAUCACUUGAACCUGGGAGGUGGAAGUUGCAGUGAGCUGAGAUACAUAUAUAAAGUGAUGAUAAGUCUUAAGAAAAGACAGAGUCUCACUCUGCGACACAGGCUGGAGCGCAGUGGCGUGAUCUUGGCUCACGGCAGGCAGCCUUGAUCUUCCAGGAUCAAGUGAUUCACCUCAGCCCCCCAAGUAUCUGGGACUACAAGCACGACCCACCACUCCCAGCUAAUUUUUUCUUUUCUUUUUUUUUUUUUUGAGACAGAGUCUUGCUCUGUCGCUAGGUGCCAGGCUGGAGUGCAGUGGCGCAAUCUCGGCUCACUGCAACCUCCACCUCCUGAGUUCAAGCAGUUCUCCUGCUUCAGUCUCCCAAGUAGCUGGGACUACAGACGCACGCCACCACGCCCAGCUAAUUUUUGUAUUUUAGUAGAGAUGGGGUUUCACCAUGUUGACCAGGACGGUCUCAAUCUCUUGACCUCGUGAUCCACCUGCCUUGGCCUCCCAAAGUGCUGGGAUUACAGGCAUGAGCCACUGUGCCCAACCAAUUUACUGUAUAUUGAACUCAUGUAUUUUGUUUAUUGUCUGUAAAUUCUCUAGAAUAUAAGCUGCUUUUUUUUUUUUUUUUUUUUUUUUGAGACAGAGUUUCGCUCUUGUUGCCCAAGCUGGGGUGCAGUGGCACUAUCUUGGCUCACUGCAACCCCCAUGUCCUGGGUUCAAGUGAUUUUCCUGCCUCAGCCUCCCAAGUAGCUGGGAUUACAGACGUCUGCUGCCAUGCCCGGCUAAUUUUGUAUUUUUAGUGGAGACAGGGUUUCUCCAUGUUGGUCAGGCUGGUCUUGAACUCCCGACCUCAGGUGAUCCACCCACCUUUGAUCCACCCCCUUGGCCUUCCAAAGUGCUGGGGUUACAGGCGUGAGCCACCGCACUCAGCUGAAUAUAAGCUUUUUAAAGGGUUUUGUCUCUUCACUGCUAUAUACCCAGCACCUAAACAGUCUGACCAAUAGCAG